rnacentral:rRNA from 2 species
AGCGACGCUGGCGGCAUGCCUACUACAUGCAAGUCGAACGAGCUUCCCGUUGAUUGACGUGCUUGCCCUGAUUUCAACAUUGGAACGAGUGGCGAACUGGUGAGUAACACGUGGAAAACCUGCCCAGAAGCAGGGGAUAACACUUGGAAACAGGUGCUAAUACCGUAUAACAACAAAAACCGCAUGGGUUUUGUUUGAAAGGUGGCUUCUGCUAUCACUUCUGGAUGGUUCCGCGGCGCAUUAUCUAGUUGGUGAGGUAAAGGCCCACCAAGGCAAUGAUGCGUAGCCGACCUGAGAGGGUAAUCGGCCACAUUGGGACUGAGACACGGCCCAGACUCCUACGGGAGGCAGCAGUCUAGAAUCUUCCACAAUGGACGAAAGUCUGAUGGAGCAAUGCCGCGUGAGUGAAGAAGGGUUUCGGCUCGUAAAACUCUGUUGUUGAAGAAGAACGGGUGUCAGAGUAACUGUUGACAUCGUGACGGUAUUCAACCAGAAAGCCACGGCUAACUACGUGCCAGCAGCCGCGGUAAUACGUAGGUGGCAAGCGUUGUCCGGAUUUAUUGGGCGUAAAGCGAGCGCAGGCGGUUAUUUAAGUCUGAUGUGAAAGCCUUCGGCUUACCGAAGAAGUGCAUCGGAACUGGGUAACUUGAGUGCAGAAGAGGACAGUGGAACUCCAUGUGUAGCGGUGGAAUGCGUAGAUAUAUGGAAGAACACCAGUGGCGAAGCGGCUGUCUAGUCUGUAACUGACGCUGAGGCUCGAAAGCAUGGGUAGCGAACAGGAUUAA